rnacentral:tRNA from 1 species
GCCGAAGUGGCGGAAUUGGUAGACGCGCUAGAUUCAGGAUCUAGUGGACAUUACAUCCGUGGGAGUUCGAAUCUCCCCUUCGGCA